rnacentral:rRNA from 1 species
AACGAACGCUGGCGGCAUGCCUAACACAUGCAAGUCGAACGAGACCUUCGGGUCUAGUGGCGCACGGGUGCGUAACGCGUGGGAAUCUGCCCUUGGGUUCGGAAUAACAGUGAGAAAUUACUGCUAAUACCGGAUGAUGACGUAAGUCCAAAGAUUUAUCGCCCAAGGAUGAGCCCGCGUAAGAUUAGCUAGUUGGUGGGGUAAAGGCCUACCAAGGCGACGAUCUUUAGCUGGUCUGAGAGGAUGAUCAGCCACACUGGGACUGAGACACGGCCCAGACUCCUACGGGAGGCAGCAGUGGGGAAUAUUGGACAAUGGGCGAAAGCCUGAUCCAGCAAUGCCGCGUGAGUGAUGAAGGCCUUAGGGUUGUAAAGCUCUUUUACCCGGGAUGAUAAUGACAGUACCGGGAGAAUAAGCCCCGGCUAACUCCGUGCCAGCAGCCGCGGUAA